UGCCUGUGAUGACUUGCCAUGCUAAUACCGACCCCCCAGCAGCACUUGGCUCUGCCCUGGCGGGAAUGAGUUAAACUUGCUUCUCACGGAGUUCUGAGGCAC